GACGAACGCUGGCGGCGUGCUUAACACAUGCAAGUCGAACGGAAAGGCCCUGCUUUUGUGUGGUGCUCGAGUGGCGAACGGGUGAGUAACACGUGAGUAACCUGCCCUUUACUUUAGGAUAACUUCAGGAAACUGGGGCUAAUACCGGCUAGGAGCUCCUGCUGCAUGGUGGGGGUUGGAAAGUUUCGGCGGUUGUGGCUGGACUCGGGGCUUAUCAGCUUGUUGGUUGGGUAGUGGCUUACCCAGGCUUAGACGGAUAGCCGGCCUGAGAGGGUGAACGGCCUCCAGACGCCUGAGAGAGGCCGCAGUCGGCAAUGGUAGACAGCGGGGGGAAAUCUGACACAGCCGGGCCGCGUGUGUGGAGGAGGUCUCCGGAGUGGAAAGCAGGUUUAGGGGGGGGAAACCGCUGUCACUUGAGACGAAGCGGUUUUGACGUUAACAGCAAAAUAAGCACCGGCUAACUACGUG
rnacentral:rRNA from 1 species